GAAUUUCUCACGAAUUCACACGAAUAUUUCAGAAUAUAUACGAAUACUGGCAUGGCGAGGACGGCACAUUGGAGAGGGUAUCUGACGAAUUGACAGUGACUACAUUAAGAUCAUCAUGUUGAAGUUGACCAUCCUCGUCUUGUCCUGUGUCACUCUGCUGCUGCCACUGCUGUCUGUGUCCGAGGCAAGGCCAAAUUACGUAUUCAGUAAAUACCGCAACAGAAUCAGGAGAGGUGAACAGGGCAAGUGGUGGUGGAAUGACAUUCACAGCACCCUCCGAGGUGACGAUGUGGGACUCUCAACACCAACCGAACUAAUCACAGCCGUGCUAAUGUUCAUGCGCGAUGAAGGCGUGAGCGCAGAUGAAAUGAUCGAGUUUCUACGGGAAAACAAAUUGGAUCACUUCCUUUGUUUGUCUGGGUAAUCCAGCGAGAUUUGGAGAAAGUUGAGAAGGUUUAUUGUCAUUUCGUUCUUUCUCUGUAGCCCUGACGUAGAAUAUGUUGUUGACGUGAAAUAAAUGAUUGAGAAAAUUUA